UCUCCCGUAGCUCAGCAGGGAGAGCGCCACCUUGACAGGGUGGAGGUCGGAAGUUCGAGCCCUCUCGGGGUCA
rnacentral:tRNA from 1 species